CCUACGGGAGGCAGCAGUGGGGAAUUUUGGACAAUGGGCGCAAGCCUGAUCCAGCCAUGCCGCGUGCGGGAAGAAGGCCUUCGGGUUGUAAACCGCUUUUGUCAGGGAAGAAAAGGCUCUAGUUAAUACCUGGAGCUGCUGACGGUACCUGAAGAAUAAGCACCGGCUAACUACGUGCCAGCAGCCGCGGUAAUACGUAGGGUGCAAGCGUUAAUCGGAAUUACUGGGCGUAAAGCGUGCGCAGGCGGCGAUGCAAGACAGAGGUGAAAUCCCCGGGCUCAACCUGGGAACUGCCUUUGUGACUGCAUGGCUAGAGUACGGCAGAGGGGGAUGGAAUUCCACGUGUAGCAGUGAAAUGCGUAGAUAUGUGGAGGAACACCGAUGGCGAAGGCAAUCCCCUGGGCCUGUACUGACGCUCAUGCACGAAAGCGUGGGGAGCAAACAGGAUUAGAUACCCUGGUAGUCCACGCCCUAAACGAUGUCAACUGGUUGUUGGGAGGGUUUCUUCUCAGUAACGUAGCUAACGCGUGAAGUUGACCGCCUGGGGAGUACGGCCGCAAGGUUGAAACUCAAAUGAAUUGACGG
rnacentral:rRNA from 1 species